rnacentral:rRNA from 1 species
CAGCAGCCGCGGUAAUACAGAGGGUGCAAGCGUUAAUCGGAAUUACUGGGCGUAAAGCGCGCGUAGGUGGUUUGUUAAGUUGGAUGUGAAAUCCCCGGGCUCAACCUGGGAACUGCAUCCAAAACUGGCAAGCUAGAGUAUGGUAGAGGGUGGUGGAAUUUCCUGUGUAGCGGUGAAAUGCGUAGAUAUAGGAAGGAACACCAGUGGCGAAGGCGACCACCUGGACUGAUACUGACGCUGAGGUACGAAAGCAUGGGGAGCAAACAGGAUUAGAUACCCCAGUAGUCCCUGUCUCUUAUAA